rnacentral:rRNA from 1 species
GAAAGCCUGUCUCAGUUCGGAUUGGAGUCAGCAACCCGACUCCAUGAAGCUGGAUUCGCUAGUAAUCGCGCAUCAGCCACGGCGCGGUGAAUACGUUCCCGGGCCUUGUACACACCGCCCGUCAAGCCAUGGAAGCCGGGGGUGCCUGAAGUGCGCUGCCGCAAGGAGCGCCCUAGGGUAAAACCGGUGACUGGGGCUAAGUCGUAACAAGGUAGC